UCUUUCUGCAGUUCUCUUACUGCACAUAACUGUGGCAUUGUGGGAAAGUCUUGCUUUUAGCACUAUUGCUUCUUUUCUUGCAUUCUGGGAAGUCUCGCUUCUGCUUCUGCACAUACUGUUCCAAACACACCAAGCCAAACACACCAAGACAUUCUCUCAUUCUUCAGUUCAUUCCAAGUUCAUGAACAAAACAAUAUGGUCUGUUCUUAAUGCAUAGCUGACCACAUCUACGGAACUUGAUUAUUAUAUUCUUUCAUGUUAUGAUCAAUCAUUAGUAAUUGUUUUAGUCAUGUUAUAUUAAUCUUUAGUUAUAAUUUAAUUAGGAGGAUUCAUGCCUGUCUAGUUCCAGCUCCGUUUCUCAUCCUUUGAUCUAUCAGUGAUAAAUGGUUGUAUGUAAUUCCCGCCUUGUACCUAUGUUAACCAAUCAGCAACAAGAUGCUUUGUGUUUGUAUCAACCAAUCAGCCACAAGCACACCUGUGGCAAUGUUUGUAAUAUUCAAUAAAAGAGAGUUCCCGGGGCUUGCCCCGGCAGACGCCUCUCAUAUGACACCUGCCACUCGUCUGUCGUGAUUUCAACCCAACA